ACAGAAGAAAUGGGUCUGAGUGCUCGGCUGGGUUUGGGGGCAAACUGAAAAACUGGACUGCAUGGGUGAUCAAUAGGCUUCCUGAUGGCGAUCGGGGAGAUCUCAAUCAACCAAAACAGAGGCUUCCUUCAAUUUUUCGUUGGGUUUGCUCUAUCACUGGAGAACCGAUCUGGUAUUGAGAGUUUGGCUUCACUUCAGUCCCUCCCUUCAGACAAGGAUAAAGAUAUGAAGGCUUGAAGGGUUGUGACGGGGCGUUGUUGUUGGUCGACGACGAAGCGGUUGGCAGUGUUGAUCAUGGCGUCGAUUACGAUACACCCUACACCAUACGCUCAUGACUCUCCUGGGGUUUAAAGAUUGCUCCUCCUUUUUGGGUUUUUGAUUAACAGCAAAAAGGUGGGUACUUGCUCUGUUCUUGUGCUUUAAUGGCUUUCGAAUCAAGUGGGCUUUGGAUUGUCUGGUUUGCGGCUUAUGGCAAUGUUGAGUUGUGAGUGAGAAAGAGAGAAGUGUUUGGUGAAUUGUAAUUGGGUUGGAGUUUUUUGUCUCUUUUUGUCUUUGUUUUUCGUCUUGAAUUGAAAUAGGGAGGGAGGCAAAGAUAUGCCUCGAUUCAAUUAGCUGCAGUUUUGCCUAUAACAUUUACCAAACAUGGCUUCAGUAAUUGCCACCAAAUCUUGCCUCGAUUCAAUUAGCCAGGUACGUCCCUUUCUCGAUGAGCUUUCAAUUCAGUUCAAUGAUGUUUAUAUUCUGUAUUUCAAUACCAAAUAAUACUGGUUUUCUUUUCUUUUCUGUGUAUGGAUAUGUGAUCAAUGGAUGUAUGACACUGCAAGUUAAUAACUUCGUCAGGCUUUCAGUAGGGAGUUUUAGCACCUGCAAGACCAUAUAUGCUUUUAUUAAAUUUGGUAGGUUUACUGCCAUAACUUGAACUCUUUCAUAUUUAUGUGAAAUUAUGUAAUUUUGCUUUAUGUUUUGGUGCUUCUUUUUCUGAGUUUGAUUUCCUUUUACUUUUUAUGUUUAAAAGAUACAUUCAUACAGAGAACCAAGAAAUUGUACCAGGACACUUGUACUCAGCGGACUAUUUCAAAGUUGAAUAAUGAACUCUAUGAAGUCCACCAAAUAAUGACUUGCAAUAUUCAGGAAGUUCUUGGCGUCGGUGAAAAGUUGGACUAGGUCAGCCAAAUGUCUAAUCGUUUAACAUCAAAGUCUCGUGCAUAUGCAGAUAAGGCGAGAGACUUGAAUCAACAUGUUAGUGUUACAGAUUAGUCUUAUUUGAUUUGUAUAUGAUACAAAGUAGUCUAUACCAUUUCCUUGGUGACAUCAAAAUUAUAGAUUGGAAUUGCUCUGGAUCGUUAUGUUUAAUUAAUAUGAUUCCCAUUGUACUUGUAUGAACAAUGUUGCAUGCAAGCUCUCCAGUACUAUACUGUUUGUUUCAAUACCAAAUCACUUGUACGGUUUUAGUGUUUUAUGGUGGCAUACUGGUAGAUGAGGCAUUACAUGACAGUGGAAUUUUCUUUAUCUACUGAAACAACCUUCUGUGCUUGUGGGGGUUCACAAUAUUUAUCACUUGUGCCUGAUGGUGGUGAUGUAUGCUUUUGCUAUUGCUAAGCUUAUUUAGGGUUGUCUUUAUUUAUUAUUGCUCUUCUUUAAUUUCUGCAGCUUUCUUGUUUUUUGUACAAUUUAGUCUCUUUCAGAGCUGUAUUUGUUUCAAUGAGGAAAAUUUCUCCAAUCUGCUAUGAGCACUUCAGAGUGAGAUGUUUUUGUCAAGCAUUUGGGUCAUAUGUAUAGUUCAUAUGGAGUCUUAUGUGUGGCUAAAAUUUAAUUCAUCUUCACAUCUUAAUUGCAGGCUCUGAUCCGUAAGUGGGCUCCUGUUGCCAUGCUCUGCAGGUGCUAAAGCUCUCUACAAAAUCUCUAAAAGAGGACUUUCAUUUCUAGUGACGAGUUCCAAGUGCAAGGGAAGAAGAGAUUCCAAGAUUUAGGGAAGUGAUCAGGAGGAUGCCAAAAACAAAAUUGAGGAGGAUCCCUAAACUCUUUUGAAUUAGUAUAUAGUAUUGAUAUAACUACUUUGAAUUAGUACUUAUUGUAAGGGAAUACUUUGAGUUAUUACUUUUAAUUUUAGUAUAUAUUUCUUUUGUCUACUCA